UACAGAGGGGGCAAGCGUUGUUCGGAAUUACUGGGCGUAGAGGGCGCGUAGGCGGCCUUCUAAGUCGAACGUGAAAUCCCUGGGCUCAACCCAGGAACUGCGUCCGAUACUGGAAGGCUUGAAUCCGGGAGAGGGAUGCGGAAUUCCAGGUGUAGCGGUGAAAUGCGUAGAUAUCUGGAGGAACACCGGUGGCGAAGGCGGCAUCCUGGACCGGUAUUGACGCUGAGGCGCGAAAGCCAGGGGAGCAAACGGG
rnacentral:rRNA from 1 species